UAAGAAAAAAUGGACAAGGAGCAGCUCAGCAGGAGUGGAAUCAGACCCGUGAUUCUGUUUAAAUUGCUGGCUUUAAACAAAACCAAAAAAACACAUUCAGUGAUGAUUAACUGAAUGUUACAUUGUUGUUGCCAGUCACAACUGAUGUUGAUUUACUGGAGCUCUCCCUUCUAUAUUCCUCCACGCAAGUACUCAAAGGACCAAGACAAUGUAAUAUUCCCUCGGUACAGAGCCAAGUGUGACCAGCUGCUUCGAACAAACAGCAGGGCAACGCAGGCGCAGUGCGGACCAGCCGUCCGGCCGUUCAGAGCAGGCGCAGUGCGGGUUCCGCCAUUGACCUGCCCUGACACUCGUCCCACUUUGACGUCAAAACGCGGAAGUGGCUUUGUCAGUUUCAGGGUGAAUCUCCCUCCUCUGGGCAAAUCCUUGACCUGGGAGGCAGAGAGAGAGAAGGGGUCAAUCUCUUCACUUGUAGCAACUGGAGUGAACCCAGGGAGCGAGCAGACUUUGCAAACUCAGAUCCUGAAUUAGCACCUUCAGGAGAAUUAUUUAGAGUGGAGUGAGAACAGAGCGGGAGAAAGAGCGCAUGGAAUGGUGCUUUCAAUGUUUCAGAAUAACAAAAGAAAAGAGUGUUCCACAGAAAUUGGAAUUGCUUUUUCUGAAUUUCUACUUUGAACUGAUAGUGAUGAGUUUUGUAGUCUCUUCUUGAAGUAUUUGAAGAUCUAAAGGUGGAUGUUUCAAAAUGAACAGAUGAAAGACUUAUGCCUGACUCCCCUCUUCUGUGGAUGCUGCCUGAACUGCUGUGCUUUUCCAGCAACGCACUUUUCGACUCUGACUCUCCAGCGUCUGCAGUUCUCACUUUUACUUCAAUGUCUGCAAGUUACUCCAAUCCAUUGGGACCGCAACGAUUUUAGACUAUGAUCCUGUGAGAUGGAGCAAAGUAUUGUGGUUCCUGUUUCAGUAUGUUUUCAGCAUCAGUGGGACUGGGUGAGAGAGCCCAGUGUUGCAGUGCACUGAGUGUGGAACCUGAAACAUUAAUACAGCCUGGAAAGAGGAGUUCAUGGUGGCAAGGGGCUCUACAUGCGUUUGUGUACAGCUGAAGCUUCAGCCAUGGAGGAACCUGAGGAAUCCCGGCCCAUGCGGAAACCAUGGAAGUGUGGCGACUACGGAAAAGGCUUUCGUGUACCGUCUGCACUGGAAAGUCAUCGACGCAGUCACACUGGGGAGAGACUGUUUUCCUGCCCUGAGUGUGGGAAGGGCUUUACACAUGCGUCUACCCUCUGGGCCCACCGACGGGUCCACAGCGGAGAAAGGCCAUUCUCCUGCCCUGAGUGUGGGAAGGGAUUUACCCACUCCUCCCAGCUGCUGCCCCACUGGCGGGCCCACUCCAGGGAGAAGCCCUGUAGCUGCCCCGAAUGUGGGAAGGCCUUCACCGAUUCCUCCGCCCUGCUGAAGCAUUAGCGGGUCCACACCGGGGAGAGGCCAUUCUUCUGCCCCAGGUGCAGGAUGGACUUUACCGCUACUCCAACCUGAUGAGGCACCCGGAGCUCCACACCAGGGGGAGGCUGUUCUCCUGCCCAGAGUGUGGCAAGACCUUUAACCGCUCCUCCAGCCUGCUGGCCCACCAGUCAGUCCACUCCAGGGAGAAGCCCUUCAGCAGUCCCGAAUACGGGAAUAUCUUCAACAAUUCCUCGGUCCUGCUGGCACACAAGUGGGUCCACACAGGGGAGAGGCCAUUCACCUGCUCCAUGUGUGGGAAGGGAUUCAGUCAGCUGGGCAACCUGCAGAGGCACCAGUGGGUCCACACAGGGGAGAGACCAUUCGUAUGCUCUCAGUGUGGGAAGGGAUUCCUUGAUUCUUCCACUCUGAAGACCCACCAGCAGGUCCUUACUGGAGAAAGGCCAUUCACCUGCUCCGUGUGUGGGAAAGGAUUCAGUCAGGUGGGCAAUCUGCGGACGCACCAGCGGGUCCACACCGAGGCAAGGCCAUUCACUGCCCAAAUGCAGAAAGGGAUUCAUCGAUUGCUGACCUACCAGCGGGUCCACACCGAGGAGAGACCAUGCAGCUGCCCGAGUGCGGGAAGGGAUUCAUUGAUUCUUCCGGCCUGUGGAUGUACCAAUAGGUGCACACCAGGGACAGCUCGCUCACCUGCUCUGGCCUUUAUCAACACCUCCCACCUACGGAGGCACAAAUGCUGCCGGACCUGCUGAGGCUUUCCAGCAUUUUCUCUUUUCGUCACAUCACAUAUUGCGCAUGCUCCUCGGUGUCAGGAAGCACUGCGCAAGUUCACCGGUGUCAACAAAAUAGUACGCACGCUCGCUCUCAGAUGAAACAUCCCGAGACCUUCUCUCUCUGGACCAAUGGGAAGAUUUGGAUGACCGGAAGGAAUCUGGUCCUCCUGACAAUCAGAGACACCCCAUAGUACAUGAAUGCGGAAGUUCGCCAUAAGAUUGGAAAGUUGCUGCUCCUGUCUCUGAAUGAAGAUUGAGUUUCAGCAGAUUGCAGCUUCCUUCCUCUGUCUAAACAUCUGAAGACAUGCGGAAAGAAAUCUGAAAGCACAUGAUACAUCAACUUCUGACAGAACCACUUGAUUCAUUGGGACUUGAAUAUCAGCAGCUAUUCAAAUCGAGAGGAAAUGUUUGCUUUUGUCUGCUUGACAGGUUUUGGACACUGGUAUGGCAGGAGGAAUACGGAGACAUCUGAGUGAGGGAGAUUCAGUGCGCUGUCUGUGAAAUGUGCUUCAAACCGUUUACUCAGCUUAGGGGAUCAAACUGACACCACUCACUGUGGGGAGAAACUGUGUACACAUCCUGUUUGUAAUUUCAAACUCAGAGCGACGCAAGGAAAGCUCCCCCAAUGGGGAAACAGUGGAAAUGUGGGGACUGUGGGAAAGGAUUCCCUUCCCCAUCAGUGCUGGAAACCCACAGACACAUUCACACUGGGGAGAGACCGUUCACUUGCUCCGUGUGUGGGCGGGCAUUCAGUCAGAUGGGUCAUCUGCAGAAGCACCAGCGGGUCCACACGGGAGAGAUGCUGUUCACUUGCCCCGUGUGUGGGCGGGCAUUCAGUCAGAUGGGUCAUCUGCAGAAGCACCAGCGGGUCCACACAGGAGAGAAGCUGUUCACUUGCCCCAUGUGCGGGAAGGCAUUUGCUCAAUCAUCUGCACUACUGAUCCAUAACAGGGUCCACACCAGGGAGAGGCCAUUCAUUCACCCCUCUCAGUGCGGGAAGGGUUUUGUGAAUUCUUCCAACCUGCAGACUCACCAGCGGGUCCACACCGGAGAGAGGCCAUUCACGUGCUUGGUGUGUGGGAAAUGGUUUGCUUAUUCAUCUGCACUGCUGAACCACAAGCGGGUCAACACAGGGGAGAGGCCAUUCACCUACUCUCUGUGCGGGAAGGAAUUCAUUGAUUCUUCCAGCCUAUGGACCUACCAGCGGGUCCACACGGGAGAGAAGCCGUUCAUGUGCCCAGUAUGUGGGAGGUGGUUCACGGAGUCAUCUAAACUCCUGAUCCACCAGCGGGUCCACACUGGGGAGAAACCUUUCAUCUGCUCAGUGUGCAGGAAGAGAUUCAGUCAGGUGGGAUAUCUGCAAAGGCACCAGCGGGUUCAGACGGGAGAAAAGCCAUUCACUA